rnacentral:rRNA from 1 species
GUUAUAUGGUCAAGUGAAGAAGCGCAUACGGUGGAUGCCUUGGCAGUCAGAGGCGAUGAAAGACGUGGUAGCCUGCGAAAAGCUUCGGGGAGUCGGCAAACAGACUUUGAUCCGGAGAUCUCUGAAUGGGGGAACCCACCUAGGAUAACCUAGGUAUCUUGUACUGAAUCCAUAGGUGCAAGAGGCGAACCAGGGGAACUGAAACAUCUAAGUACCCUGAGGAAAAGAAAUCAACCGAGAUUCCCUUAGUAGUGGCGAGCGAACGGGGAUUAGCCCUUAAGCUUCAUUGAUUUUAGCGGAACGCUCUGGAAAGUGCGGCCAUAGUGGGUGAUAGCCCCGUACGCGAAAGGAUCUUUGAAGUGAAAUCGAGUAGGACGGAGCACGAGAAACUUUGUCUGAACAUGGGGGGACCAUCCUCCAAGGCUAAAUACUACUGACUGACCGAUAGUGAACCAGUACCGUGAGGGAAAGGCGAAAAGAACCCCGGAGAGGGGAGUGAAAUAGAACCUGAAACCGUAUGCGUACAAGCAGUGGGAGCCUACUUGUUAGGUGACUGCGUACCUUUUGUAUAAUGGGUCAGCGACUUAUAUUCAGUGGCAAGCUUAACCGUAUAGGGUAGGCGUAGCGAAAGCGAGUCUUAAUAGGGCGUUUAGUCGCUGGGUAUAGACCCGAAACCGGGCGAUCUAUCCAUGAGCAGGUUGAAGGUUAGNGGUUAGGUAACACUGACUGGAGGACCGAACCCACUCCCGUUGAAAAGGUAGGGGAUGACUUGUGGAUCGGAGUGAAAGGCUAAUCAAGCUCGGAGAUAGCUGGUUCUCCUCGAAAGCUAUUUAGGUAGCGCCUCAUGUAUCACUCUGGGGGGUAGAGCACUGUUUCGGCUAGGGGGUCAUCCCGACUUACCAAACCGAUGCAAACUCCGAAUACCCAGAAGUGCCGAGCAUGGGAGACACACGGCGGGUGCUAACGUCCGUCGUGAAAAGGGAAACAACCCAGACCGCCAGCUAAGGUCCCAAAGUUGUGGUUAAGUGGUAAACGAUGUGGGAAGGCUUAGACAGCUAGGAGGUUGGCUUAGAAGCAGCCAUCCUUUAAAGAAAGCGUAAUAGCUCACUAGUCGAGUCGGCCUGCGCGGAAGAUGUAACGGGGCUCAAACCACACACCGAAGCUGCGGGUGUCACGUAAGUGACGCGGUAGAGGAGCGUUCUGUAAGCCUGUGAAGGUGAGUUGAGAAGCUUGCUGGAGGUAUCAGAAGUGCGAAUGCUGACAUGAGUAACGACAAUGGGUGUGAAAAACACCCACGCCGAAAGACCAAGGGUUCCUGCGCAACGUUAAUCGACGCAGGGUUAGUCGGUUCCUAAGGCGAGGCUGAAAAGCGUAGUCGAUGGGAAACAGGUUAAUAUUCCUGUACUUCUGGUUACUGCGAUGGAGGGACGGAGAAGGCUAGNAGGUUGGCUUAGAAGCAGCCAUCCUUUAAAGAAAGCGUAAUAGCUCACUAGUCGAGUCGGCCUGCGCGGAAGAUGUAACGUGGCUCAAACCACACACCGAAGCUGCGGGUGUCACGUAAGUGACGCGGUAGAGGAGCGUUCUGUAAGCCUGUGAAGGUGAGUUGAGAAGCUUGCUGGAGGUAUCAGAAGUGCGAAUGCUGACAUGAGUAACGACAAUGGGUGUGAAAAACACCCACGCCGAAAGACCAAGGGUUCCUGCGCAACGUUAAUCGACGCAGGGUUAGUCGGUUCCUAAGGCGAGGCUGAAAAGCGUAGUCGAUGGGAAACAGGUUAAUAUUCCUGUACUUCUGGUUACUGCGAUGGAGGGACGGAGAAGGCUAGGCCAGCUUGGCGUUGGUUGUCCAAGUUUAAGGUGGUAGGCUGAAAUCUUAGGUAAAUCCGGGGUUUCAAGGCCGAGAGCUGAUGACGAGUCGUCUUUUAGAUGACGAAGUGGUUGAUGCCAUGCUUCCAAGAAAAGCUUCUAAGCUUCAGGUAACCAGGAACCGUACCCCAAACCGACACAGGUGGUCGGGUAGAGAAUACCAAGGCGCUUGAGAGAACUCGGGUGAAGGAACUAGGCAAAAUGGCACCGUAACUUCGGGAGAAGGUGCGCCGGCUAGGGUGAAGGAUUUACUCCGUAAGCUCUGGCUGGUCGAAGAUACCAGGCCGCUGCGACUGUUUAUUAAAAACACAGCACUCUGCAAACACGAAAGUGGACGUAUAGGGUGUGACGCCUGCCCGGUGCCGGAAGGUUAAUUGAUGGGGUUAGCGCAAGCGAAGCUCUUGAUCGAAGCCCCGGUAAACGGCGGCCGUAACUAUAACGGUCCUAAGGUAGCGAAAUUCCUUGUCGGGUAAGUUCCGACCUGCACGAAUGGCGUAACGAUGGCGGCGCUGUCUCCACCCGAGACUCAGUGAAAUUGAAAUCGCUGUGAAGAUGCAGUGUAUCCGCGGCUAGACGGRAAGACCCCGUGAACCUUUACUGUAGCUUUGCACUGGACUUUGAGCCUGCUUGUGUAGGAUAGGUGGGAGGCUUUGAAGCGUGGACGCCAGUUCGCGUGGAGCCAUCCUUGAAAUACCACCCUGGCAUGCUUGAGGUUCUAACUCUGGUCCGUGAUCCGGAUCGAGGACAGUGUAUGGUGGGCAGUUUGACUGGGGCGGUCUCCUCCUAAAGAGUAACGGAGGAGUACGAAGGUGCGCUCAGACCGGUCGGAAAUCGGUCGCAGAGUAUAAAGGCAAAAGCGCGCUUGACUGCGAGACAGACACGUCGAGCAGGUACGAAAGUAAAAGUGGUACGCGAGCUGGGUUUAGAACGUCGUGAGACAGUUCGGUCCCUAUCUGCCGUGGACGUUUGAGAUUUGAGAGGGGCUGCUCCUAGUACGAGAGGACCGGAGUGGACGAACCUCUGGUGUUCCGGUUGUCACGCCAGUGGCAUUGCCGGGUAGCUAUGUUCGGAAAAGAUAACCGCUGAAAGCAUCUAAGCGGGAAACUUGCCUCAAGAUGAGAUCUCACUGGGAACUUGAUUCCCCUGAAGGGCCGUCGAAGACUACGACGUUGAUAGGCUGGGUGUGUAAGCGUUGUGAGGCGUUGAGCUAACCAGUACUAAUUGCCCGUGAGGCUUGACCAUAUAACACCCAAACA